AUGGAAUUAUGAGCCAGGAACCAUGGACAAGAACAUACAGACACACUCAUACCCCAUAUAUACACACAUAUAGGCACCUACAUAUAUACACACCAUACACACAUAUACACACACAUACCCCAUAUAUACACACAUAUACACACCUAUACACACCUACAUAUAUACACACACAUACACACCAUACACACAUAUACACAUACCAUAUACACACCAUACACACAUAUACACACACAUACCCCAUAUAUACACACAUAUACAUACCUACAUAUAGAGACACAUAUAUACACACCAUACAUAUACAAACACACCCCGUAUACACACAUAUACACACCUACAUAUAGAGACACAUAUAUACACACCAUACAUACACACACACCCCAUGUACACACACAUAUACACACCUACAUAUAUACACACCAUACAUAUACAAACACACCCCAUGUACACACCUACAUAUAGAGACACAUAUAUACACACCAUACAUACACACACCCCAUGUACACACACAUAUACACAACUACAUAUAUACAUACCAUACGUAUACAAACACACCCCAUGUACACACCUACAUAUAGAGACACACACAUAUACACACCAUACACACAUAUACACACACACCCCAUAUAUACACAUACACACCUACAUAUAUACACACAUACACAUCGUACACACACACCAUAUAUACAUAUAUACACACAUAUAUACACACCAUACACACAUGCACACACAUACCCAUAUAUACAUAUAUAUAUACACACACGUAUAUACAUAUAUACACACCAUAACACACGUAUAUACAUAUAUACAUAUACACAUAUACAUACCAUACACACACGAGCAUAUACACACACAUGCCAUACACACACAUAUGUAC
rnacentral:lncRNA from 1 species